GAUGAACGCUAGCGGCAGGCUUAGUACAUGCAAGUUGAGGGGCAGCAUGAUAUACGCGAGUAUAUUGAUGGCGACCGGCGGACGGGUGAGUAAUAGGUAGGAGACCUACCUCAUACAGGGGGAUAGCAUAGAGAAAUCUGUGGUAAUACCCCAUGAGGUUAUAUGAAUAGAGGCAUAUAAUCAAAGCAUAAGCGAUUAUGCGGUAUGAGAGGGGCCUACUGACCAUUAGCUAGUUGGUGAGGUAAGGGCUCACCAAGGCGAAGAUGGUUAGGGGUUUUGAGAGAGAGACCCCCCACAUUGGAACUGAGAGACGGUCCAGACUCCUACGGGAGGCAGCAGUAGGGAAUAUUGGGCAAUGGGCGAAAGCCUGACCCAGCCAUGCCGCGUGAAGGAAGACGGCCUUAUGGGUUGUAAACUUCUUUACUACGCGAAUAGAGGUUAGUACGAGAUACUAAUAGGAAGUAGUGUAGUAAAAGCAACCGGUAACUCCGUG
rnacentral:rRNA from 1 species